ensembl:lncRNA
UGUGCCGGGCGGGGGGGGGAACUAUCUCAACAAUCGUCGCGUCGGCGCUUUAAGCCCUGGGCGGAGCUUGAUCAUUGAACUUGCUACUGUUGUCUGCAGUGAUAUCAUAACACUGCAAUAUGAAGAAGCGCUCAUAUGACCGCCGCACGUCUGCAUCCCAGAGGAAGACACACACAGGUGCUGUAACUGGGGCAAAGGGAAGGCAUGAGGAAUAAAAGAAAGAGGAAGGAUGCCAGCUGAGCCCCUCAUCCGCCUGCGACUGCCACCGCUGCCAGCAUCGAACUAAAGAAGCACAGAAAAUGGCUCAGUCUGUGAGGAGGCCCGAGACUCUAGGAGCCAUGGACCACGAGCCCCAGAGGGACAAGGCCAGGACCAGCUACUUUGGCAACGUCAAGACCAGGCUGGGCUCCAAGCUCCCUCCAGGGGUCUCUCAGCCUCCACAGUUCGCUAAGGGGCCCUGGGAGACUCAACCUCAGGCCCGAGUGACGCCGAGGCCAAACGCCAGCAGCCAGCGUCAGAACCGGCCCGCCGUGGGCCGGCCUCUCAACCACAUCCCCCACAUCAGAAACCCCAAACUGCGGCAGUACUACCUGCAAGGGACUUCAUGGGAUCUCAACAAUGCGGCCGUGAAGCAAGAAUCUAUGAGUGGACCGUCAGAUGACAGCUCAGGCAGCAGGGGUCUCCCUGGGGACACAGUGUUCAGCGUGUCAUCUCAGUUCAGCAGUGUCGCCAUGUCCUCGGCAGAAGAGGGCAAAAUGGGUCUCCGUCCCUCCCGUUCCUCCUUGAACUUGCCCUCCUCGUCUGCUGCCCUCGUCUCCAGAGAGGUAAGAGUCGACUUCGAGUGCGUGGUGGCAGCUGCAACUUGUUGUGUGUGCUGUGUGUGUGAAAGGAUCGAAGUGACAGGUUUCUCUGAGUGCUGUUGCUGUAUUUGAAAUGCAAAACAAGGCCUCUCACAAGCCCCGUCAGCCUUUAGCUAUGGGCAGUAAGUGUGCUGCUGUAUCUUAAACCCUUUCAGGCAAUCAAUACCUCACCCUGAAAUCUUCAUGGGCAAACUCAGACUGAUAAUGUGCAGUCUUUACUCACCAUUGUGUUAAAGUUACAUAGAAGCUGUUAGGAUAUUUACCACCACCCUCAUGUGUCACAAGGAGCGAAGAUGUGACUACAAACAAAGAUGGGAGGGGAAAUGCAGGCCUGUAGAAAGAGGAAGUUGUCACUCGUGUCACCAGGUCGUAUGUAUUUCAAUGUCAGAGCUAUUCUUAUCAUGGCUUCCACUCUGAAGCAGCUUCUUGUUCCGAAGGGGAAACACCCCUCUGCCGGUCAAGGGUCGUCUCAACCAGAACUGGACUCGGACUCAGAUCCUAACCUGAAGCGAGAGGUGGAGGCGGAUCGGGACUCUGUGGAUACACUUGCUGCUCAGCCUCAGUCCCCCUCACCAGAGGCAGAAUAUGACAAACUAUUGGUGAGUAGAAAAAUACAUUACAUAAUCACUUAGGAAGCACUAGUUCUGGAUUGUUUUUUGUGUAAGUGUAACUGAAGUGAACAGCAAUUAACUUCAGUUUUAUAUGAGAGUGAUAUGAAUUUCCAUUGUAUGCUACUUUAUACUUCUACCCAGUGACUCUUCAGAAAGAAGUACUGUACUUGUACUCUAUUUACUUUGUUUGACAGCGGUAGUUACAAGUUACCUCUCGUAUUUAGAUUUUACAAUGAGGAUUUUGGAAGAUUUUACAUACAAGAUGAUACGCUGCUUGGAUACGUUACACCAGCAGUGAUCAUAUCACUGGUUUUCACCACUUUCACUUGUGACGUUGUUACAGAGAGUUUUUUCUGUUCCCCUUUACACUUUCCAAAGGAUUUCAUUAAAGUAACUAUUUAAACUAUUAUAAAGAGUAGAGAAAAGUCCACAAAAAUGAAUUACUCCAUUAAUUAUCUAAUGAUCCCUCAUAUUCUUGUGUCAUGACUCUUUAUUGGAAUACAGUCAGCUAAACCAGCUGUAAAUAAAGUAGUUAUAACCAGUUCCAACUCGAGCGGCUCCAGCAGUCAAUGCUGCAUUAUUGCAUCAGAAUGAACCAGUGUUUAUGUACUAUGUACUUAGUGUUUUAGAGUAUACCAAAGCACACUUGGUUUGUCUUUCCACAGUCACCUCUUGUUUGGUCGAAAUAAAUCCGCAAUCUUCCUCUAAAUUUCUUUUUCAAGUUAUGACUUCAAGCAUUUUAGAGUCUUUAGGUGCCAAAGUAACGUGACAUGUCAAGCUUCAGUUCAGGAAAGAUAAUCCCAAUGUUGAAAAAAAUAAAGGGAUGCAAGCUAUACUGUGUAACAAGCCUCUCUCACCCUGAGGUGAACUAAAGGUUAGGAGCUUCUUUUUUAAAAUACAAAAAUAUGAAAUAAUUGCUUAUG